UUAUAUCCAGGAUGAGGUCCGCAGGAUUAUCUUCUGUUCAUGUGUCACCUUAGACUCUGGCUGAGGCCAAUGGAGGUCGUUAUAGGUGUCUUCUGAGGAAGAGAUACACAUGCUACCUUCUUUUGUGAAGGUAUACCCUCUGACAUGUCGCCCUCAGAGUGGUUUGGUGUUAUUUCCGACGUUGCCAGCGGAAUUAUCACAAGAGAUUGGAGAUCGGGGUUCAAAUGGAG
rnacentral:lncRNA from 1 species